CCUACGGGGGGCAGCAGUAGGGAAUAUUGCUCAAUGGGGGAAACUCUGAAGCAGCAACGCCGCGUGGAGGAUGAAGGUUUUAGGAUUGUAAACUUCUUUUGUGAGAGAAGAUAAUGACGGUAUCUCACGAAUAAGCACCGGCUAACGCUGUGCCAGCAGCGGCGGUAAAACGGAGGGAGCAAGCGUUAUACGGAUUAACUGGGCGUAAAGAGUGCGUAGGCGGGCUUGUAAGUCAGAUGUGAAAUCCUGUAGCUUAACUACAGAACUGCAUUUGAAACUGUGAGUCUAGAGUGUGGGAGAGGUAGGUGGAAUUUGUGGUGUAGGGGUGAAAUGCGUAGAUAUCAAGAAGAAUACUCAUUGCGAAGGCGACCUACUGGAACAUUACUGACGCUCAUGCACGAAAGCGUGGGGAGCAAACAGGAUUAGAUACCCUUGUAGUC
rnacentral:rRNA from 1 species